CCAUUCUCCGACCGAUAUUUCUGUCCCCUGAAUAUCAAAGGAGCCGACAGGUGCUUUCGCUUCUUGUUGGAUGGAGUAUUCUUUGGUAGAACUGACUGUUAUUUAACGCGCGUAGUUUGAAAAUUAUUGCGACUGUCUCAUGGUGCACACGUCUCAAGGUGGCCCACUCUCCCCUAUUUCCCCGUUGUUCUCUAUGUUCCAUUUUAUUGAUGAUGCGUAGUCUUUGCACGGAUGAAUGACAGUUAACGGCAUCCUACGUCUGGCGUGAUUGGUUGUUAUCGUCGCUCAUUGAAAAUUUUGUCUUAGCGAGUCGAUUGCAAAAUUGGCACCGUGAAAAUCGAAAGUGAGCUAACUGACUCCCAUUAAACUGUGCCAGUGGUAUCUGACACUCGCUUCUUUGGGUAGUUUUUUGGUUUCUUGUUUGCUCUUUUAUGUCCAUUUAAUUCCCACGAGAAGCUUUGGAAAGGGUGGUCCACUUCUAUACAGCCCCCUUUCCCAAGGGUACCAUUUGUGAUAUUGUUACAUCCAGUAUCUUUCAUCCCUCGCUACGGGAACUUACAGCUUGGCAGUAUAGUCGAGCCGUUUAUUGGUCGAAAGUCUCACAACCCAACAUUAGGGCUGUUGGGUGGGAUCUCUUUUAAGCCUCCUCGCCGGCGACAAGAUCAUAUGGCUCCCAAGGGGCGCUAAAUUACCUUACAAACAUUUAGGCCCGGUCUUUUCACCUCCGAAUAAAUAUGCUCUUAUCUGGCAGUUAGCUAUCUGGAGGAUAAAUAUUUAUUCGCCAGAUAAAAUGUACCCGUCUUUUCACGUCAAUUUAUGUUCCAGUUAGUUAUCCGGUAGAUAAGCUUAAAAGUAAGUUUGGAUUCCGAACACACCUGACUUUUAUGUUUAUUUUUAUAAUUUCAGCUUUAACUUAACCUAACAUAAUUAGAUUCAAAGUAUUUCAAAGAUGAUUUUAUCGAUUUUAUUUCCAUUUUGGAAGAAGGAAUGAAGGAAAUAAGGAAAACAUUGAUUAUGCUGAAAUAGUUUACUGGAGAGCUUGAACAAGAGGUAAAUCCAUUUUAAAUUAGAGGAAAACUGUUGAUUUGUAUGUAAAAUAGAAGACAAAGACAAGUUUAAAUAAAGACAAGCUAGCUAAUGAAACAGAUGCAGUGAUAUGACAAACACCUAGAAGAUGGAAUCCUGUGUUCUCAAAGAAAAAGCUAGUUCCAGAAAUAAGCUACCAAUAAUAAACUAGAGAAUGUAUUACAAGAAAGAACAACGCUAAUACCCAACAUAGCUCAAUUGCUUCAGAUAGAAAAAGAGGAGGAAAGGGUAGAACACAAGCGUGCCAGAGAAAAUUAAAGGGCAGAAGAGACACAAAAAUUCAUUGAUUUAUUAAAUUUAAUAAUUAAAUUAUACAAAGGACAAUUAAAUAAAGAAUAAAAAAUUA